rnacentral:rRNA from 1 species
GAUGAACGCUAGCUACAGGCUUAACACAUGCAAGUCGAGGGGAAACGACAUCGAAAGCUUGCUUUUGAUGGGCGUCGACCGGCGCACGGGUGAGUAACGCGUAUCCAACCUGCCCACCACUUGGGGAUAACCUUGCGAAAGUAAGACUAAUACCCAAUGACGUCUCUAGAAGACAUCUGAAAGAGAUUAAAGAUUUAUCGGUGAUGGAUGGGGAUGCGUCUGAUUAGCUUGUUGGCGGGGUAACGGCCCACCAAGGCGACGAUCAGUAGGGGUUCUGAGAGGAAGGUCCCACACAUUGGAACUGAGACACGGUCCAAACUCCUACGUGAGGCAGCAGUGAGGAAUAUUGGUCAAUGGGCGAGAGCCUGAACCAGCCAAGUAGCGUGCAGGAUGACGGCCCUAUGGGUUGUAAACUGCUUUUAUAAGGGAAUAAAGUGAGUCUCGUGAGACUUUUCGCAUGUACCUUAUGAAUAAGGACCGGCUAAUUCCGUGCCAGCCGCCGCAGUAA